GAUGAAGAACGUAGCGAAAUGCGAUACUUGGUGUGAAUUGCAGAAUCCCGUGAACCAUCGAGUCUUUGAACGCAAGUUGCGCCCGAAGCCAUUAGGCCGAGGGCACGCCUGCCUGGGUGUCACACGUCGUUGCCCCCCCAUCUACUCCUUCGGGAUUGCGGGGGGCGGAUGAUGGCCUCCCGUGCGCCUCGUCGCGCGGUUGGCAUAAAUGCCAAGUCCUCGGCGACGCACGCCACGACAAUCGGGGGUUGCGAAACCUCGGUUGCCCGUCGUGUGCGGUCGUCGCGCAUCGAGGGCUCGAAAAAAUUGCCGGGCUCCGGCUCGGCUUUCAACGCGACCCCAGGUCAGGCGGGGUUACCCGCUGAAUUUAAGCAUAUCAAUAAGCGGAGGA
rnacentral:misc_RNA from 1 species